rnacentral:rRNA from 1 species
ACAGCAGCCGCGGUAAGACAGAGGGUGCAAACGUUGUUCGGAAUUACUGGGCGUAAAGCGCGUGUAGGCGGCUCAGCAAGUCGGAUGUGAAAGCCCUUGGCUCAACUGAGGAAGUGCAUUCGAAACUGCGGAGCUUGAGUCCCGGAGAGGAUGGUGGAAUUCUCGGUGUAGAGGUGAAAUUCGUAGAUAUCGAGAGGAACACCGGUGGCGAAGGCGGCCAUCUGGACGGUGACUGACGCUGAGACGCGAAAGCAUGGGGAGCAAACAGGAUUAGAUACCCUGGUAGUCCAUGCCGUAAACGAUGGGUGCUAGGUGUCGCGGGCAUUGACCCCUGCGGUGCCGAAGCUAACGCAUUAAGCACCCCGCCUGGGGAGUACGGCCGCAAGGCUAAAACUCAAAGGAAUUGACGGGGGCCCGCACAAGG